rnacentral:rRNA from 1 species
AUGCCGAGGGCACAACCAGUCAAUAUCCGAGCUUAUCGCCAUAAACCUGAACUGAAGUCUGAAAUUGAGCAGCAAGUGCAGGAACUACUACAGUCUGGUGUGAUCCAACGCAGCCAAAGCAGCUUUUCAUCACAUGUCAUCCUCGUUAAAAAGAAGGACGGCACAUGGAGGAUGUGCAUCGACUAUCACCACCUCAACGCGAUGACUCGAUUCAGCAAAUUCCCAGCGCCUAUCAUCGAAGAACUUCUGGAUGAGCUGCACGGCGCGUUGGUUCUCCAAAUUGGACCUACGCGUGGGGUACCACCAAAUCAGAUUGGCCGAGGGCGAGGAGUUCAAAACAGCUUUCCAAACUCACUCAGGCCAUUAUGA